GCCUGGCACACAGUAGGUGCUCAGUUAGUGACAGCUGUUGAUUAUCACCAUGAUGAUCAUCAACAAAUAUUUAUUGAGUGCCUAUUACAUG
rnacentral:miRNA from 1 species